UUACUUUGCCCUCGGCCUUGAGCUAUUGAAAAAUUUGGCAGUGGUGGUGAUUCACGUUUUGAGGUUCGGUUCGGUUCAAUUUUUUGGUGAAUUUAAAAAUUUACCUACUAACAAUAAUUAGUGUAUCAGUCUGUGUGUAUUGUUUGUGACACUGAAAAUUUGGUACGGUAAGAAUUAAACUGUAUUAGUUUUUAGAAUUCUGUCUGUGAAUAACCUUCACGGACCUAUUAUGUCUGUGUAGACUGUGGCUUUGUUGGUGCUUUCAUACAAGUUCACAUUCAACCAAGUGUUAAAUUUCAAAGUAUUUUGUAAUUAUGGAAGCUCUUAUACCAGUUACCAACAAACUUCAAGAUGUCUUUAAUACAGUCGGCACCGAUAUUAUACAGCUUCCUCAAAUAGUUGUAGUUGGCACACAAAGUGCUGGUAAAAGCUCUUUGAUUGAGAGUGUAGUCGGAAAAAGUUUCUUGCCGAGAGGAACAGGAAUUGUCACCAGGUGUCCCUUGGUUCUUCAACUUCAUUACUGUCCUAAAGACGACAGCGAAAAAAGAAAUAUUGAUGAUGGAACGUUGAACAUUGACGAAUGGGGUACAUUUUUGCAUAGGAAAGGUAAAGUAUACAGUGAUUUCACUGAGAUUCGUAAUGAAAUUGAAUGCGAAACAAACAGGAAAGCCGGAAAUAAUAAAGGAAUUUGCUAUGAACCGAUAGUGUUGAAAGUAUUUUCACCUCAUGUACUGAAUUUGACGCUGGUCGAUCUUCCUGGCUUAACUAAGGUUCCAGUGGGCGAUCAGCCCGAAGAUAUUGAACAACAAAUAAGAAAGUUGAUUCUCAAGUACAUUGGCAAUCCUAAUUCUAUUAUACUUGCAGUUAUUACUGCCAACACCGACAUGGCUACUAACGAAAGUAUAAAAAUAGCAAAAGAAGUUGAUCCGGACGGGCGUCGAACGCUAGCCGUGCUCACCAAGUUGGACUUGAUGGACGCUGGAACAGAUGCCAACGAUAUUUUGUGCGGACGUGUCAUUCCAGUCAAACUCGGAAUAAUCGGUGUUGUAAAUCGCUCUCAGAAAGACAUCAACGAAAACAAAUCUAUAAAAGACUCUUUGAAAGAUGAAGCAAACUUCAUACAAAGGAAGUAUCCGACGUUAGCUACACAAAACGGUACUCCGUAUCUAGUCAAGACACUGAAUCGACUGCUGAUGCACCAUAUAAGAGAGUGUCUGCCUGAACUGAAGGCCAGAGUUAAUGUGCUAGCUAGUCAGUAUAACAUCCUUGCCAGUUCUUAUGGGGAAGACAUAUCGGACAAGGGAAAGACACUGCUACAGAUAGUCACUAAAUUCUCGACCGCUUACUGUUCGACAAUAGACGGCACAGCAAAGCAUAUUGAAACGUCCGAGUUGAGUGGAGGUGCUCGCAUCUGUUAUAUAUUCCACGAAACAUUCGGAAACGUUCUGAAAAAUAUCAAUCCUCUGACUGGUUUGAGCAAGUUUGACAUAUUGACAGCGAUUCGUAACGCGACUGGACCGCGGCCGGCGCUAUUCGUGCCCGAGGUCUCGUUCGAGUUACUCGUCAAGCGCCAGAUUCGCCGCCUCGAAGACCCCUCGUUGAGGUGUGUCGAGUUGGUGCACGAGGAGAUGCAGCGCAUCAUUCAGCAUUGCGGAGUCGAGUACCAGCAGGAGAUUCUUCGCUUUCCCAAGCUGCACGAGAACAUCAUGGAUGUGGUGACAAAUCUGCUGCGACAAUGUCUGCCCACUACAAAUCGUAUGGUGGAGAAUUUGAUAGCGAUUGAGUUGGCGUACAUCAAUACCAAGCACCCCGAUUUUUGCAAGGAGUUUGCGUUGGUUACAAACAUGUUGAAUCCAGCUAAUUCGAUACGUUCGAACCUCCAGCCGACCACCAAUCAUAACGAUAAUGCAGGUCAGUUGAAGCGAGGAGGGGGACAACGAUCUCAACCUCAACGUGAUGACGAAGGGGAAAAUGCAGAGGGAGGAGUGAUGGUGAACGGUGAGGCGUCGACAAAGCCCUCUCCCGAACACGAACAAACCACACCGACACCUUCCAGCUUCAUGACAGACACCACUCGACGCAUGACCGACAAGGAGCUGCGCGACUGUCAGGUGAUCGAACGUCUCAUCAAGUCCUACUUCUACAUAGUGCGCAAGUCCAUCCAGGACAGUGUGCCCAAGGUGAUAAUGCACUUCAUGGUGAACCACGUGAAGGAGAACUUGCAGUCUGAGCUGGUGACUCACCUCUACCAAGGCGACAAGAUCAAUCAGCUGGUGAUCGAGUCGCCGCACAUAGGCCAGCAACGCAAGGAGGCCGCCGAAAUGCUCAAGGCCCUACAGAAAGCGCAUCACAUCAUCAGCGAGAUCAGAGAAAUACAUCUGUGGUAGUUGGCCUACUGGCGUUAGAAGGCUAUUCCGGUUCGGACAUAAGACUGGUGUGCAAAGAAGCGGCAAUGUGUUUAAUGCGGAAAGCCUUUGCUGCUCUCGAAACUACCCAAAAAAGUGAUGAGCUGGAUCUGGACAUAAUGACCACAGCUGAUGUGAUGGAGGCCAUUCAACGAACCAAACCCUCUGCAUGUGAUCUGGUGCAGCGCUACCGUGCCUGGUUCCAGCAAAGCGGUUCUGCUUAGAUUAGGUUAGAAUCUGCGCAAGCGCGGACUGUCACGAGCAAAAUAUUGUUGUUGUAGUAGUUGCCUACAAACAAAACUUUCUAGCCAAAAAAUGCUUUUUAAACCGUUUAAUUUUUGUAAAUUUCUAAGCCUCAAAUGUUCUCUGUGUAUUAUUAUUGAUUCGAAAUCGUUGGGUAUAAAAUAUUGACUAUACAGGGUGUAACAGCCAUAUAUACUGCAUGGAUUUAGCAACAAAAAAUGUUUAGUAAAAUUUUCAUAUAUAAACCUUAGUUCUCGAGAUAUAUUAAUUUUAAAUAUAUUAAAUAAAAAGACUAAGAAAUUUUCAAAAACCACAGAUUUCAUUGAUAAAGACCGGUUUCGGUUGUUACACCAUUGUCAAUCUCACAAUUGUCAAGACAGAUUGACAAUUGUGUAACAACCGAAACCAGUCUUUCUAACUAUCAAUAGAAUCUGUGGUUUUACACAAUUUCUUAGUCUUUUUAUUUAAUAUGAAUAAUUACCACAAUAUCAACUUCUCAACUACACAAAAAAAUAUAUACAUUUUUGGAUAUUUAUGAAAAAUGUCAUUAACAAGAAAACUAUCAGUCAAAAUCUAAUUUUAAGGAUAUUUUUGGAAAGAGGGUGAAAUUUUUAAUAAGAUUCGUGUAAUUUGUUUCUUUGUAUGACGUUUUUGAAUUUUAUAUGAGCGUUCAAACUGUUUGAAAUUUGGCUUUGAACUCAACGAAUGUACUUUGUUCAACUUUGAGCUCCCAUAAAAAAUCCAGAAACUUCAAUCUAAGAAACAAAUCAUAGGAAUCGUGUUGGAAAUUUCUUCCUCUAUCCAAUCAUUUCCUUAGAAUACGAUUUUGACUGAUAGUUUUCUAGUUAUCGACGUUUUUCGAAAAAUCGAUAUAUCUUGAAAACUAAUGUCGAUAAGAGAAAAUUUCACUGGGCAUUUUUUUGUUGCAAAUUGAGUGUAGAAUCUAUGGUCUUCGGCUUUUACACCUUUUGUCGGACACUCUGUAUAGUGGGAAUCACUUUAGACUGGUAGUAUUGGUUCUUCUAGGGUUGUGUGGCAGAGAGUACCUAGUGUCCUAACUCCGCCCUUAAUAAAGGAAAUAAUUUAAUUCUCUUUCGAAAAUGUAGCACAACCAGUGUGUUUGUUAGAAUAAUCUGUAUCCUAACGUCGACUUGUAAAGCCCUGCUUUACAGUGAAUUUCUGCUCUGCUGGACGGACUGGGAUACUGGCUGUUAUGGGAGAGUUCAGAAAUUUCCAUUCUACGAAUGUGUGAACUCUCCCAUAAGAACCAAUGUCAUUCUAAUUCUGCCCAAGGUAUUAGAGCAGAGCGCGAUCAACUUUAGUCUGGGAUCACCACAUUCAUAAGCUGGUAUGAUCAGCUAAUAAGAUGAAUGAAACCCAUCCUAAUCACAUUUUUAGUCAUAUUUUGUUUUGUUUUCCCUGAUGUACGGUGGGUGCAUAUAGGGUGCACUGUUAAAAACGUUGAUAAAUUGCUUGAAUUUAGAAUACAGGUCCAGUCAGUUGUUCGAUAAGAAGAUGAUACCAGUAUUGAGAAAACUACCCUAAUCACAUUUUUAGCAAUAUUUUGUUUUGUCCUGAUGUACGGUAAGCGACAUAAAAUUCCAAUGACUUUCCACUUUGAGGUUAUCAAUCGUCAUCACUGAUCAUUUCAAAUGAAUUCUGAUCAUCAAAAAUGUUUGUCAUUAUCGUUUGAGAUCAUUAUCAUAGUUUGAAUCUCCAUGAACGUCCAUUUAUCUAUGUACUUACUCUAUAUGCAAUAACCUUUUUUUGUUAGGGCUACUCUCAAAUAUCAAGAAAUCAAAAUAUAAGUACCUUUUUUUAAUUGUUUACUUACGACAUGUUUUGACAUUAUCCAUCUAUAUAGAAUGUAUGAUUCAUAAUCUAAAGACUUAGUAUGAAUGGACUCGCAUAAUAGAUAAAACUAUGAAUACUGUUUGAGGCACCUUUUUUGCACAUUGAUCUAUCAACUAUAUUCAUCAUGUUUCUGUUUAGUAUUGAAAGUGAUAUAGUAAUAGUUAUCGAUAAUAAAAAUAAUUAUUAAGGAUGUUAAUUACUUGAUUUAUUACGAACUGCGAUGUAUACACUACAAUUGAUUACAGACAUGCGGUUAUCAAUUUUAUACUUGAGGCUUUCCCGGUUUCCGAGCUCGGGAUUUAGCUAAGUUCUAGACUCUAAACAGCAGGAGUCAGAAAAUUGGCUUUCUGAAACGGGGCGUAUUCUUAGGCUAGGGCCACACGAGCGCACAUAGUGCGUCCGUUGCAACUUACUUUUUGACGUCCGUUUUAGAAAUACAUAGAAGUGAAUUGGUGACAACACACGAGGUACGUGCGUACCAAGUAACGGAAGUCGUAACGGACGGUGAUUUUUGAACUGCGUAGAAAUGCUACAACGCAUGUCGAGACAUGCAAAAGUUAUUGCUUCGUCUGGUUCAAUUGCGUAAAGCCAACUGACGUUGAUGCACCACACUCAACGCUCGUGUGGUGUCAUUGGCGACGGCCGCAAAAGUAAGUUGAAACGGACGCACUAUGUGCGCUCGUGUGGCCCUAGCCCAAGUCCACAUUUAAAUUAAAUUUCGAAAAACUAGAAAAAUGAUCACAAAAUAAAUAGAAAUAGUGUAAAGUUUCAGCUAUUUUGAAAUAUUUAGGGAUGUUUCAUUUCUUCAAGGAAAAGCGUUCCCAAUUUAUUAUAGAAAUGAGAAAAUAAAGAUUAUCAUAAGAACUACGACUACGCCCCGUUUUGGAAAGCCAAUUUUGUGACUCCAGCUGUUUAAAGUCUAGAACUUAGCUAAAUCCCGAGCUCGGAAAUCGGCCCUUAGUGACUGCUGAGAUUUUCAUCAAACUCCAGUCUGUAAAUAAACGAAUUGUUUUCAAUGUUGAUAUUAGUGACUGCAUAAAUCGGAAUUCAAGCGAAAAAUUGUGAGAAUCAGAACAAUCCAACCUUGUUGGAAUAUUGAAAAGUCUGUCUUCACUGAAACACCAUGAUCAAUCGACUACCCCUUUUCCAAUUUAUUGUAUUUGAGAAAGUAUCAAUAAUUGUAAUUGAGAAUAGUCAUUUGUAUUUGAGUAUAGUGAAUUCUAUUUGAGAAGUCAUCACAUGUAAUUGAGAAUAGUAAAUUCUAUUUGAUAAAGUAUCAAUUUAAUUCGAGAAAUUAUUAUUUAAAAUUGACAAGUUGUCAAUUUGUACCAGGUGAUCGUUUUUCUCAUUUUCAAUUGAUAUCUUCUUAUUUACAUUUGACACUUCUCAAAUACAAUUCACUGUUCUCUAUUACAUAAUAUGAUGAGUUAAAUACAAUUUACUACUCUCAUUCACAUCUGACAUAUAUUCUCAAUUACAAGUGACUAGUCUUAAAUACAAUUGGGAAAGGUGUAGAACUAUAAAUAUUAUCAGAGCUUGAGAAGUUGGAGUUUACUAGAUUUAUAAUGGUUUAACUAGCGGAAAUAAUUUAUACUUUUCUAAACAAAUUUUUGGUUUUUUAUUCUAUUCUAGUACUGGUCAAAAGAACAAUAUGAUUACACAGUUGAUUUAAGCUGGAUUCUCACGUAUCAGUGAAAGUGAAAGUUUUUAGUACAGUGAUAAUUGUAUUCCUAUAAAUUCUAUGGGACUAUUCAGACUUGCUCUGCGGGGAAUACAAGGUCUAUAAAUGGGUAAAUAGGUUUUUAUAGACCUUGGUGGAAUAGUCUAAUUAGUGCUCAUGGGAAUUCUGUUUUCACUGAUAGUGUAUGAACUAGAUAUGAGCAGGGAAUCCAACUUUAUGACUGGAAAACUUUGCUAAAAAACUUGUAAUAACAUGCAUUUAUUUAUUGAGAAUAGGUCUACAUUACAUGAAAAUAAUAAUACAACUCAAAGAGGUUUUGUACCAAUAUAAUAUUUUGAUGAGCCAUUGAGUCGAAUAACAGAAUUGCCCCCAAUAUACAGUAAUUAGUUUUAAGAAACCGUGUUGUGAAAUUCUUUGAGUCUGUAGUAUAACCAUAUUUGAUACUUUUUAAUUGAGACCUUUCAAUUCAAAAAAUGGCAUCAUUUUAAUUCAUUCAAGACUCCCAGGGUAAUUGUAUUGUACAAAAGAUAACUCGCUUUCCUAGAUUAAUUUGGGAGAGCAAUAACGAUUUUUAUAAUCUGGUGUAAGUUAUAUAUCAGAGUGUAACAGUAUUCUUCAUUAUUACCUACAAUAAUUACAUCAUUUAAAUGAUCGGGAGAGGAAAAAUAAGGUUACCGUACAUUAUUACGAUACUACAACUUUUCAAUUUUAUUUGAGAAAAUAUCAAUUGAGUUUCAGAAGAUGUCAAAAUUGUAUUUAGUCAUUUGUAAUUUAAAUGAACUUGGAACACAAGAUGUAAAUGUGAACAGCUAAUUUUAUUUGAGAAGUAGGAUCUCAUGCAAUUGAGAAAAGUGAUUUCUAAUUAUUUCGAAGCAGUCAAUAAAAAGUUAUCAAUUGAAAAUUAGAGACUUUAAAUCCUAUAUUUUGUAUUUCAAGUUGUGAACAAGAUCAGCGGGGUUUUCAGUUGGAUUUCUCAAUAAUUAUAUUACAACUGACUUCUUUUUCUCGAUUACAAAUGAUAAUUUCUCAAAUAUAGUCCGGGUCCUGUAGCUUUGCCUAUCGGCGGAGGGUCACUAGAUUACAAUACCACACAUUACUUCCCGUUCAAAAACAUCCAACAUUUUUGAAAGUUUCAAAGUCACGGAGGCAAACCUACGGGACGCGUACUGUCCACUAUUCUCAAUUACAAGUGAUACCGUAACUUCUGUAAUACAAUUUGACUGUUCUCAUUUAAAAAUGAGUAUUUUGAAUCACGGUCGAUACUUCUCAAAUAAAUUGGAAACGUUUUGGUAUUUUUGAUCCUAGUAUGAUGAGGAAAUGAGAAACAUUGUGAUGAAUAGAUUAAAGAUGAUGGUUUCUCGAUCCAUUCCGAGCUGCGAUGUAUUAACACACUUUUUUCUCGUGUGAAAUAUACAUAAAAAGUGUAUGAAUAGAUUUUUUCUAAAGUCUUCAUCCUAACUUUACUGUUGAUAAUUACUGAACUUUAUGAAGCACUUUUUCACUUUCACAAUAGUAGGCUAAUUUCAACUUAUUGUUCAAUGCAGUGCUGAAUAUUGGAUCCAUCGCCCUGAAACCUGUCCUCCUCCCUCACAAAAUAAAUUGAAAUUUUACUAUUGUAAAAGUGAAAGAAUGCUUUAUAAAGUUUAGUAGCAAAUAGAUUAUAAUUUAAAUAAAAUGUAUUUUGCCGCAGUGCCAUGAAACUGGUCAAUCAGUGACAAAACUUCAAGUGCUGUCGUAAUUUGGAAAACAAAUAUCAGUUUAUUAUCAUACAUCCAACAUGAAAAGUUCAAAAGGUUCUGCUAUUCCAUGUUUUUUCUAGUUGAAAAGGUUUUGCUAUUCCAUGUUUUUUUCUAGUUUCUAAUGUCUGUUUUGAGUUGGCACUAAAAUUAAUCGAGGCCGACAUUGUAAUUUGUACGUAGAAAGAGGAUGUAUUCUAUUAUAAUUACCUAAAGUGUUUAAAUCUAGAAGACUUAUUAUGUGAAGCAAAAUGUUGAAAUACUCUGUUGAUAUUGUAAUCCUUGAAAAUAUAGUUGUUAAAUGAGA